rnacentral:rRNA from 1 species
UACGUAGGGUCCAAGCGUUGUCCGGAUUUAUUGGGCGUAAAGAGCUCGUAGGCGGUUUCGUAAGUCGGAUGUGAAAACUCAGGGCUCAACCCGGAGACGCCAUCCGAUACUGCGAUGACUUGAGUCUGGUAGGGGAACACGGAAUUCCUGGUGUAGCGGUGAAAUGCGCAGGUAUCAGGAGGAACACCGGUGGCGAAGGCGGGUCUCUGGGCCGAUACUGACGCUGAGGAGCGAAAGCGUGGGGAGCGAACAGG